rnacentral:rRNA from 1 species
AAUGAACGUUGGCGGCGUGGAUUAGGCAUGCAAGUCGAGCGAGAACCAGUCCUUCACUUCGGGCAUUUAACCCCCGGUCAAUGACCGGGGGCUAAGUGAGCGAGGUGAAGGGCUGGGGACAGCGGCGAAAGGGAGAGUAACACGUAGUUACGUACCCCGAGGACCGGAAUAGCCACGGGAAACUGUGGGUAAUGCCGGAUAAUGUCCUCGGACCAAAGGUGUGAUUCCACCUCGGGAGCGGACUGCGUCGUACUAGCUAGUUGGCGGGGUAAUGGCCCACCAAGGCGAUGAUGCGUAGCGGGUGUGAGAGCAUGACCCGUCUCACUGGGACUGAGACACUGCCCAGACACCUACGGGUGGCUGCAGUCGAGAAUCUUCGGCAAUGAGCGCAAGCUUGACCGAGCGACGCCGCGUGCGGGAUGAAGGCCUUCGGGUUGUAAACCGCUUUCGGUUGGGAGGAAAUUGACUGGGGUUCUCCCCAGUUAUUGACCUAUCUUCGGAAGAAGGACGGGCUAAGUUCGUGCCAGCCGCCGCAGUAAUAC